ensembl:lncRNA
UAUUUUGUUGAGAAUUUUUGCAUCUGUAUUCAUCAGUGAUAUUGGCCUAUAAUUUUCUUUUUUUUGUGGUAUAUUUGUUUGGUUUUGGUAUGAGGAUGAUGAGUCAUGUGGAAGGAGUUUGAGAGUUUUCCUUCCUCUGCAAUUUUUUGAGUAGUUUCAGAAUGAUAGGUAUUAACUCUUCUCUAAAUGUUUAAUAGAAUUUACUUGUGAAGUGACUAGUUGUAUCCAUGUUGCUGUAAAUGGCAUUAUUUCAUUCUUUUUUAAUGGCUGAGUAGUAUUCCAUUGUAUAUAUGUACCACAUCUUCUUAAUCCAUUCCUCUUGUCAAUGGACAUUUAGGUGGUUUCCAUGUCUUGGCUAUUGUAAAUAGUGUUGUUGUGAACAUAGGGGUGCAUGUAUCUUUUUGAAUUACAGUUUUGUGUGGAUAUAUGCCCAAGAAUGGGAUUGGUAAUUCUGUUUUUAGUUUUCUGAGGAACAUCCAUACUGUUUUCCUUAGUAGUUGCAAUAACUUUCAUUCCCACCAGCAGUGUAGGAGGGUUCCUUGUCCUCCACAUACUCUCCCACAUUUGUUAUUUGCAGACUUUUUAAUGAUGGCCAUUCUGAACAGUGUGAGUGGGGUACCUCAUUAUAGUUUUGAUUUGCAUUUCCCUAAUAAUUAGUGAUGUUGAACAUUUUUUUAUGUGUUUUUUGGUCAUCUGUCUGUCUUUGGAGAAAUAUUUAAAUAUAUCAUCUGCCAAUUUUUUAAUUGGGUUUUUUUUUUUUUGUAGUUGUUGUGGAGUUGUUCAUGCAUUUUGGAGAUUAAGCCCUUGUUGCAUCAUUUGCAAAUAUUUUAUCUCAUUCUGUAGGUUGUAUUCUUGUUUUUUUAAUGGUUUCCUUGACUGUGAAAAAGCCUGUGCAUUUAAUUAGGUCUCAUUUGUUUAUUUUUAUUUUUAUCUCUGUUGCCUUGGAAAACCUAAUAAAACUGUACAAUUUAUGUCAGAGAAUGUUUUGCCUACAUUCUUUUCUAGGAAUUUUAUGGUUCCAUGUCUUUAAGUUUAAGUCUUAAGCCAUAUUGAGUUUAUUUUUGUGCAUGGUAUGAGGAUAUAUUCUAAUUUCAUUGAUUUACAUGCAGCUGUUCAACUUUUCUGGCUGAAGAGAGUGUUUUUUCCCCCAUUUUAUAUUUUUGUCUCCUUUGUCAAAGAUUAAUUGAUCAUAGUUGUGUGGGUUUAUUUCUGGGUUCUCUAUUCUCUUGAUGCAUAUGUCUGUUUUUGUGUCAAUAUCAUGCUGUUUUGAUUACUGUAGCUUCAUAGUGUUGUCUGAGGUCUGAGAGAUCCUGCUUUGUCCCCCUGCCCCAAGGAUUCCUUUGGCAAUUCUGCAUCAUUUAUGGUUCAUGUAAAUUUAUGGAUUAUUUGUUUUAGUUCUGUGAAAAUAUGGGUAAUUUGACAGGAAUUGCAUUAAAUAUGUAAAUUGCUUUGGGUAGUAUUGCCAUUUUAACAAUAUUCUUUCAAUCUAGGAGCAUGUAAUAUCUUUCUGUUUUGUUGAAUCCUCUUUAAUUAGCUUUAUUAAUGUUUUAUAGUUCUCUGUGUAAGUCUUUCACCUCCUUGGCAGGUUUAUUCCUUGGUUUUUUUUUGUGUGUGUGUGAGAUUUUAUAAGGUAUGUUUUUUUUUUUUUACAUUCCUUUUCUGGUAUUUCAUUGUUAGUAUACAGAAAUGCAACUGAUUUAUGAAUGCUAAUCUUGUAUCCUACUACUUUACUGAAUUCCUUUAUCAGAUCUAGUAGUUUUUUGUGUGGAAUCCUUAGGGUUUUUUAUUAUAUAGUAUCAAGUCAUCUGCAUAUAGUGACGGUUUUACCUCUUCUCUUACAAUUUAGAUACUUUUUCUUUUUCUUGUCUAAUUGCUAUGGCUAGGACUUCCAAUACUAUGUUAGUAGAAGUGGUGAGAGUGGGAAUCCUUGUCUUAUUCCAGAUUUUAGCAGGAAGGCUUUCACCUUUUCUCCUUUGAGUAUUACAUUGGCUGUAGGUUUAUCAUAAAUAGCUUUCAUUACUUUGAGAUAUGUUCCCUCUAUACCCACUUUGCUAAGAGUUUUUAUCAUGAAUAGAUGUUGAAUUUCAUCAAAUUUUUUUUCUGCCUCUAUUGAGAUGAUUAUGUGGUUUUUGACUUUCUUUUGUCAAUGUGGUGUAUUGAUUUAUUUUAUGUAUGUUGAAUCUUGUGAACAUACUUAUGAACUUGGGAUGAAUCCCACUUGGUUGUAUAUUUUUUCAUUAUGUGUUGUUGGAUUUGGGUUUGCUAGAACUUUAAGAAUUUCUGCAGGUAUAUUCAUCAAAGAUAUUGACCUAUUAUUUUCCUUUUUGGUGGUAUUUGUCUAAUUUUAGUAUUAGGGUGAUGGUGGCUUUAUAGAAUGUCUUUGGGAGUAUUCCCUCCCCUUCAGUAUUUUGGAAGAGUUUGAGAAGGAUCAGUAUAUGUUCUUCUUUGUAUGUUUAGGUAGUAGAAUUUGCUUGUGAAGCCAUCUGGUCCUGGACUUUUGUUUGUAGGGAUUUUUUUUUUUUUAUUACUACAGAUUCUAUUUUACCACUGGUGAUAGGUCUUUUCAAAUUAUUUCUUCUUGAUUCAGUUUUGGUGGGCUGUAUGUUUCUAGAAAGUUGUCAAUUUCUUCUAGGUUUUCAUAUUUGUUGGCAUAUAAUUAUUUAUAGGAUUUCUUUUUUCUUUUCUUCUUUGUGUGUGUGUGUGUGUGUUUCUGUGGUAUUGGUUGAGAUUUCUCCUUUAUUUAUUAUUUUGUUUAUUUUGAUUAUUUCUCUUUUCUUUUUAGUAAGCUUGACCAGCAGUUUAUCAAUUUUGUUUACUCUUUCAAAGAACCACCUAUUUUUUAAUUGAUUACUUCUAUUAUUUUUUAAAUCUCUAUUUUAUUUGUUUCCUCUCUCAUCUUUAUUAUUUCCUUCUCCUGACUUUGGGACUUUGGGUUUUGUUUGUUCUUCUUUUUCUAAUUCUUGUAGGUGGUAGGUUAGAUUGUUAUUUGCAAUUUUUCUUGUUUUGUUGAGGAAGGUGUGUAUCAUUUCGAAUUUCCCUCUAAGAACUGCUCUUGCUGCAUCCCAUAGAUUUUGUAUGGUUGUGUUUUUUUGUGUGUGUGUGUCUUUUUUUAAGGCUGUACCCACAGUAUUUUGGAGGUUCCAGGCUAUGGGUCAAAUUGGAGCUGCAGCUGCUGGCCUACACCACAGCCACAGUCAUGCCAGAUCCAAGCUGCACCUAUACCACAGCUCAUGGCAAUGCCAGAUCCUUAACCCACUGAGUGAGGCCAGGAAUCAAACCUGUGUCCUCAUGGAUACUAGUCAGAUUGGUUUCCACUAAGCCAUGAUGGGAACUCCCUGGUUGUGUUUUCAUUAUGUUUGUCCUAGGGUAUUUUUUAAUUUCCUUUUUGAUUUCCUCCUGGAUCCAUUGGUGUUUUUAGUAGCAUGUUGCUUAGUCUCCAUGUAGUCAUUUUUUUCUCAUUUCUUUUCCUGUGGUUUAUUUGUAAUUUCAUGUUUUUGCAGUCAGAGAAAAUGUUUGAAAUAAUUUCUAUACUGUUCAAUUUGUUGGGGUUUGUUUUGUAACUAAGAUUGACCACAUAUUGGCCCCAGUAUGUGUCCAAUCCUAGAGAAUGUUCCAUGUGCACUUACAAAGAAUCAUUUUCUGGUUUGGGGGAUGUAAUGUCCUGAAACUAUCAAUUUAGUCUAACUGUUCUUUCAUAUCAUUUGAAAUCUCUGUUGCCUUAUUGAUUUUUUUUUUUUUUGUCUAGAGGAUCUGUCCAUUGAUGUGAGUGGGGUGUUAAUGACUCCUACUAUUAUUAUAUUCCCAUCAGUUUUUCCUUUUAUGUCUGUUAGUAUUUCUUUUAUAUACUUGGAUGCUCCUAUAUCAGAUGCAUAUCUGUUGAUGAGUGUAAAAUCCUCUUCUUGUAUUGAUCCUUUUAUCAUUAUAUACUAUCUUUUUUUUUAAUCCUUCUUUAUGGACCCUAUUUUAAAGUCUAUUUUGUCUGAUAGGAGUAUAGCAACUCCUCAUUUCAUUUCUGUUUGCAUGAAAUCUCUUUCCCAUCCCCUCACUUUAUUUUUUGGUUGUAACCAUAACAUAUGAAAGUUCCUGGGUCAGGGAUAGAAGCUCUGCCACAGCUGUGACCCAAGCCACAUCAAUGACAAAGCUGGAUCCUUAAUCCACUGAGCCAAUAGGGAAUUCCCCCUCACUUUCAAUGUGUGUGUGUCCUUUGCCAUAAGGUGGGUCUCUUGUAGGCAGCAUUGAGCCUCCUGUUUUUUAUCCAGUCUGUCACUCUAUGUCUUUUGAUUGGAGCAUUCAGUCCACUGAUAUUUAAGGUAAUUAUUGAUUCAUAUGUAUUUAUUGCCAUUUUAAGCCCUGUUUUCCAGUUGAUUAUUUUUUUCUUCUUCAUUCUUUUUCUUUUUGUGGUUUGAUGGUUUCCUAUUUAUUUUGGUUGUGUUCCCUUUCUUUCUUUCCCUUCCUUCCUUCCUCCCUCUCUUUUGUUUUUUUCUUUCUUCCUUUCUUUUCCUUUUUAGGGCUACAGCUGGGGCAUAUGGAAGUUCUCAGGCUAGGGGUUGAUUUUGAGCUGCAGCUGUCAGCCACAGCAAUGCAAGAUCCAAGCUGCAUCUGCAGCCUACACCACAGUUCACAGAAAUGCCAGAUCUUUAACCCACUGAUCAAGGCCAGGGAUCAAACACCAAUCCUCAUGGAUACUGGUUGGGUUCAUUACUGCUGAGCCAGAAUGGGAACUUCCUCCUCUUUUCUUUUUAGUUUCCGUGAAUCUAUUGUAUGUUUUUGAUUUGUAGUCACUCUGUUUUUCAAGUAUGUUAACUUCUUCCUAUAUCUGCUUGCUUUAGACUGAUAGUCAUAUAGCCUCAAACACAUUGCAAAAAAAAAAGUCUACAUUUUCUUACUCUCCUCCACAUUUUAUGAUUUGAUGUACUUUGUGACAUCUUCAUGCUUAUCCUUUUGCUUUUCCUUGUGUUUAUCAUUGAUUUCACAAAUAGUUUUUUUUUAAACCCCUUUUCAGUCUGAAUACUAGCUUAUUAUGUGAUUACUUUCUGGUUGUGAUUUUCUCCUUCCUAUGUCUUGUUUCUUUUCUCUUUAGAGGAGACCUUUUGAUAGUUUCUUUUAGGAUAGGUUUAGUAUUGCUGCAUCUUUAGGUUUUGCUUGUCUGAGAAAUUCUUUAUUUAUUCCCCUAUUCUAAAUGAUAAUCUUGCUGGAUACGACUAUUCUAGGCAGCAAAUUUUUCCCUUUUAGAACUUUGAGUAUAUCUUGCCACUCUCUUCUGGCCUGUAGUGUUUCUGUAGAGAAGUCAGCUGAUAGCCUUAUGAGGUUCCCUUAUAAUUAACUCUUUGGUUUUCUUUUGCUGCCUUUAGAAUCCCCUCUUUA